rnacentral:rRNA from 1 species
AUGGCCUCUAAGGCCAUGGAUACUGAAGCUAACCCGGCGGAUAAUCGUGACCCGCCGAGUCCAAUUCCUUCUUCAACUCCUGUCCAGAUCACUGAAGAAGCCCCUCUUAAGGAAAAUACUGAUGACGUUGCCAUCAUUGGGGCGAGUCAAACGACACCCAAGACCUCCACUGUGCUAGAUAGACACUCAGCAAAAGAAGAGUCGCCCCCACCGGAGAAGGGUAAAACAAAACUUGAACUGCCAAACUGUGAGGCACUUAGCGCAGAAGAGGUGUACGCAGGAUACUUGAGCCGCUUGAACACAAGCCGGGACAUGGAGGCCAGCUUGAUACAAAUAAUGAAGCAAAAGUAUGAGGAAGCAUUAAACAUGGGCGAGUCAGAUCUAGCCGUCUUAAGAAAGAGCUUAAAGUCUGAAGAAGUAGGACGCGCAAAAGCCGAGUUAAGCUUGAAGUCUUCGUUAGAGGACUUAGAAAAUAUGAAUGCCAAAUUUAAUGCUGACAGAUCUGCUUUGGAAACUGAAAAGGCCACAUUAUUGAAGCGCACUGAAGAUGCUGAGAACCAACUUAAGACGGUGGUUGCAGAGUUGGCCGGCUUAAAACAUCAUGUUUUUCAAAUGACCGUCACCAUCUUUGGUGCCAGAAUUGCCAGCCUCGGGCAAAGUGUGGUGACCAAGCUGAAAGCCAUCUACUGUUUAACAGAGAAGUUAUAUGCUGGCACCCUUUAG